UAGUGGAGCCAAAUAUGCAAUUUCCUACUUCUCUGUGGACCCACCAUGUCUUUGGCAAACAACAGCGGGAUACGGAGAGGAGAGAGCCAGCAGGAUGGGAAUGGGGAGCUCCUGGUGAUCUGGGCACUUUCUCCUUCAUGUCACUGACCUGCCAGGAGCCACUUUAGGAUAUGGAUCCCAAAGGAGCAAGAGGUACCAGGAAGCGCCGCUGAUCUGCACAGACCCCUUUGCCUGCUGCUGCCCCACAGGGAACAGCUGUUAUGCUGAUCUCUGACCACUGCGGGGAGUCCAAGCCCGAAGCGCUGCACAAGCUCCGGGAGGGCGGGACGGAGGAGGAGCUGUGUUGGAAAAGCGGAACAUGUGGGGGAUGGAUUACCAGGGGAGUGGCUUAGCAAGCGGGUAGAAAGCCUUUUACGAUUUUGGGCAGUGUGCCUCUGGCCGUGCCUCUGGCUGCGAGUGGGCACCGAGCACUGUUCCUUUUACCUUGUCCCUUGUUAUAGUUUAAUAAACUUCUAAAAAUUUUAAGAAGCGAGGCGUCGUCUGUCACAAGAAAGAAAAAGACCACUUGAUUCAUAGGAAAAAAAAAA